CAGAUCUUGAUGCUUCACUCAGGGGUGUGUCCAUGGAUUGCACUGCCUUGGUGAUAGUUCCUGGGUGCUUCUGUCUCAUUGAUAUUGGGCUCCAUGUGGCAGAUUCCUGAGCCCUUGAAGGUCCUGGGAGGGCAGAGAGUCAACAUGGAGGAACCUGAUGUCCUGCCAUACUGAAGAGCUUCAAGCUGAAUGAGUGAACUUUUUUUGUCUCUAUUUGGCACCCAGAAAGAUCUUUGGUGGAGGUGCAUGACUUGGAGGUGCCUGAUUUGGAGGUGCGUUACUUGGAGGUGCAUCACUUGUGGAUAAGCAGCACCCAAAUCCAGACCCACGCAGGGGAAAAUGAGCUACAUCCCAAGGAAAACCUUCUCUCCGACAACUGCCUGUACUUUUGCAUUGGAAAACGUAACUUUGUGCCCAGCUCUUCAAAGCAUCCAGACUACUUUUAUCCAGGAUCUUCUACUCAAUUUACUCUUUUCUGGGCCUUUCCAUCAUUGGUAAAAUUCAUCAGCAAUGAUAUUAUGUCUUUUGAAAGGUGUUGACAACGUGUUAAAUAACGUGGGGCCAAGGACAGAUCCAAGCAUUUAGAACUGAGGAACAUCUCUAGAAAUGUUCCUGCUUCGGUGCCAGCUCCUGGUUUGUCCUUAAGCUGAGGGAUCAGCUUGUAAAGCUGUUGAUGUCUUAGCUGUGGGGAGAGAGGAGAAAAUGCAACUGCUCUGGUGAGUCUUCAUAACUAGCUGGGUGUGGGCUAUGGUGGAUGUCCAACAAACUCCCUCAGAUAAAAGGUUUUUAGGUAAAUUCAUACCAGGGAUCUACCGGGAGACACUUUCAGAUGUUUCUGCUUUCUUUUGCAGAGAAUUGGGCCCUUCCCUCCUCCAGAGCCCCCAGCACUCAACCUUUGAACAUCGUGGACUGAAGCCUGGCUGAUGGAUGCUUGGAGCCCAGCAGGACUUAACCACUACAUGGAUGGAUGGGGCCAAGCCUGGCCAUUGCUCCUGUGCCAUGGCAGUGCUGAUGCCUGCUGGGGGAGCCUGUUUUAUCACUUGCAUGAU